rnacentral:rRNA from 1 species
AACCGAGAACUCCUACGGGAGGCAGCAGUGGGGAAUUUUGGACAAUGGGGGCAACCCUGAUCCAGCAAUGCCGCGUGAGUGAAGAAGGCCUUCGGGUUGUAAAGCUCUUUUGUCAGGGAAGAAACGGUAGUAGCUAAUAUCUAUUACUAAUGACGGUACCUGAAGAAUAAGCACCGGCUAACUACGUGCCAGCAGCCGCGGUAAUACGUAGGGUGCAAGCGUUAAUCGGAAUUACUGGGCGUAAAGCGUGCGCAGGCGGUUGUGUAAGUCAGAUGUGAAAUCCCCGGGCUCAACCUGGGAAUUGCAUUUGAGACGGCAGGGCUAGAGUGUGUCAGAGGUGGGUAGAAUUCCACGUGUAGCAGUGAAAUGCGUAGAUAUGUGGAGUAAUACCGAUGGCGAAUGCAACCCCCUGGGAUAGCACUGACGCUCAUGCACGAAAGCGUGGGGAGCAAACAGGAUUAUAAACCCCAGUAGUACGACUGAGA